rnacentral:lncRNA from 13 species
AUGGGAGACACAGAAGCGCCACAGGCAGAGGAACAGGAUGGAGAGGGCGAAAGGAAGGACAGACGUGCAGAGACAGAAGGGAGGACAGACGGAAAGAGACAGAGAGAGGCAGCAAAAGCAACCAAGAAUGACAGGAGGAGGGAAGGAGGGAGGGAGAGAGAGAAAGAGAGAGAGGAGAGGGAGGGAGGGAGAGAGGCAGCGAGAGAGCACGCAGGGAGCGUGGAGGAGGAGGCACAGGAGAGAAGAGGGAGGGAGGCCAGCGAGGGACAGGACAGGGCGGAGAGGCGGAGAGGACCUAGGGAAAGCCGGGGAGGAGCGAGAGCGGCCGAGGGAGGAGGGCGGGCGAGGCGGGAGCGCCGGCCGCCGCCGCCUCCCGGCCUCUUUUGUCCCUUCCCUCCUCUGCGUCAGGCUCCCCUGGCCCGGCCUCCCCCUCCCGCUCCCUCCUCCGCCCCGCUCCUCCUCCCCGGGGCUGGAUGGAAUUUUUUCCCCUGGACCGGAGCCAGCUCCGGGGCAGGGCGGGUGGGAAGCCAGGCCGGACUGGGCAGGGCGGUGGGGAGGGGCCGGGGCGGGGGCCCCCUGGGGAGGGGGCUGGUCCGACGGCCGCGCCGCCGGCGGGGUCCGGGGAGGGGUAGCCCCGGACCUCAGAGCCGGGGAGGAGUCGCCGGCCGGAGGGAGUCGGGGAGAAGGGAAGGGGGAUGGCGGGGACGGCGGGAGGAAGGGGAGCGGCCGCGGGGCGGCGGAGGCGGGGAGAGGAUGGAGAGCGCUCGGCGGCGGCGGUGGGGCCCGGCCUGCGGGCCCGGGGCGGCGGAGGAGACCCCUUUCCUGCGACGCGGGAGCCGCGGGAGCCGUGAGUCUGCGGAAAGGGAGGUGGCGGGCUGGGGCCUGGACUCCGGGUCCCUGAGGGAGGAACACCCAGGGGCCUGGAUUUCUGGGUUCUUGGAGGAGGAGUUGGGGGUGGGGAGGUGGCUGGGCGCCCAGACUCCUGAAUCCUUGAAGGAGGGGGCUGGGACCUGGAUUCCGGGGUCCACAAGCUGGAGAAGGCUGGGGACACCUCCUGGAUUCAGGAGGGAGGACCGAGAUGGGGGCUGGGGCGGGUAG